GUCCUAGCCGUAAACGAUGAACACUGGGUUGAGGGGACUUCCACAUCUUCUCGGCCGUAGCGAAAGCGUUAAGUGUUCCGCCUGGGGAGUAUGGUCGCAAGGCUGAAACUCAAAGGAAUUGACGGGGGCUCACACAAGCGGUGGAGGAUGUGGCUUAAUUCGAGGAUACGCGAAGAACCUUAUCCUAGAUUUGACAUGCUUGAGAAUCCCUAAGAAAUUAGAGAGUGCCCUUCGGGGAGCUCU
rnacentral:rRNA from 1 species